UACGUAGGGUGCAAGCGUUGUCCGGAAUUAUUGGGCGUAAAGAGCUCGUAGGCGGUCUGUCGCGUCUGCCGUGAAAGUCCGGGGCUCAACUCCGGAUCUGCGGUGGGUACGGGCAGACUAGAGUGAUGUAGGGGAGACUGGAAUUCCUGGUGUAGCGGUGAAAUGCGCAGAUAUCAGGAGGAACACCGGUGGCGAAGGCGGUUCUCUGGGCAUGUCCUGACGCUGAGGAGCGAAAGUGUGGGGAGCGAACAGG
rnacentral:rRNA from 1 species